AUUGAACGCUGGCGGCAGGCCUAACACAUGCAAGUCGAACGAGUGGCGGACGGGUGAGUAAUGUCUGGGAAACUGCCUGAUGGAGGGGGAUAACUACUGGAAACGGUAGCUAAUACCGCAUACCAUCAGAUGUGCCCAGAUGGGAUUAGCUAGUUGGUGGGGUAACGGCUCACCAGGGCGACGAUCCCUAGCUGGUCUGAGAGGAUGACCAGCCACACGUGAACUGAGACACGGUCCAGACUCCUACGUGAGGCAGCAGUGGGGAAUAGUGCACAAUGGGCGCAAGCCUGAUGCAGCCAGGCAGCGUGGAUGAAGAAGGCCUUCGGGUUGUAAAGUACUUUCAGCGGGGAGGCGUUACCCGCAGAAGAAGCGCCGGCUAAGUCCGUGCCAACAGCCGCGGUAAUAC
rnacentral:rRNA from 1 species